GAUGAACGCUGGCGGCGUGCCUAAUACAUGCAAGUCGAACGCCUUGUGGUUCAACUGAUUUGAAGAGCUUGCUCGGAUAAGACGUUGAACAUUGCAAGGAGUGGCGAACGGGUGAGUAACACGUGGGAAACCUACCUCUUAGCGGGGGAUAACAUCUGGAAACAGAUGCUAAUACCGCAUAACACUUAUGACCGCAUGGUCAAGAGUUGAAAGAUGGUUCUGCUAUCACUAAGAGAUGGUCCCGCGGUGCAUUAGUUAGUUGGUAAGGUAAUGGCUUACCAAGACGAUGAUGCAUAGCCGAGUUGAGAGACUGAUCGGCCACAAUGGGACUGAGACACGGCCCAUACUCCUACGGGAGGCAGCAGUAGGGAAUCUUCCACAAUGGACGAAAGUCUGAUGGAGCAACGCCGCGUGUGUGAUGAAGGGUUUCGGCUCGUAAAACACUGUUGUAAGAGAAGAACGACACCGAGAGUAACUGUUCGGUGAGUGACG
rnacentral:rRNA from 1 species